rnacentral:lncRNA from 1 species
UUGAGGUCCAAGUUAACCUAAAUCUAUAAAUAGAGAGAGUAACCCUUAUUUUUGUAAUGAAGGGAAUAUAGUAUUCAUAAUACUUGUAAUUCACUGUAUUUUGCAAUUGCAAAGUGAAUAAGAAGUUUAAAACUCUGCAGAAUUUAAUUCUUCUUCUCCUUCAUCGUUCUUUACACUCUUUCUUUCUCCAUUGUUCUUCUCUUUUCAUUGCUAUUGUGUGAGUAAUAACAAUUUUGUUCAUCAAGAUUGGUUGAAAAUCUCCAU